rnacentral:rRNA from 1 species
UACGUAGGGGGCGAGCGUUGUCCGAAGUUACUGGGCGUAAAGCGCGCGUAGGCGGGUCUUUAAGUGAGUGGUGAAAGGUUAGGGCUCAACCCUAACACUGCCUUUCAUACUGGGGACCUUGAGUGCGGGAGAGGCGAGUGGAAUGGUCGGUGUAGCGGUGAAAUGCGUAGAUAUCGAUCGGAACACCCAUGGCGAAGGCAGCUCGCUGGCCUGCAACUGACGCUGAGGCGCGAAAGCGUGGGGAGCAAACAGG